GUUCUUGCUUUGGCAGGACAUGUUUUGAAAUCGGAAUGAUACAGAGAAGAUUAGGUUAGCCUCUGUGUCAAAAUGGCAUGCAAAUUUGUGAAGUGUUCCAUAUCUUU
ensembl:snRNA U6 U6 spliceosomal RNA